CACCUUUGAUGAAAAUUUAGUUCUUCAAAGGCGAGAUGGCAUAGAGGAGCAGCAGGAGGUCCAGCAGGGUAGUGCUGGACAACUAACAUCCUAUUCCAUUUUGCCACUUGCAGGUGCAUUGGGAGGACUUGGUAUUCAGGUGGAGCACUCUCCAAAGAUGUCUCCAUAGGUAGAGAGAUCUCGGAUGGAUGAAAGAAGCUAGGAGGUCCGGCAGGAGCAAACUAGGCCUAGGAUGGAUAUCGGGGUUGCACUACACAAGCCCAAAAGAAACGUCAGGCAAUCAAAAUGAUAUGGCUUCAAAGAGAUGGCGUCAUAUGCUCUGGUGAUAGUGAAUGGGGAUUCCUACACCUAUGAAGAGGCUAUGGAGAGCCAGGACUGAGAG
rnacentral:lncRNA from 1 species